ensembl:snRNA U6 U6 spliceosomal RNA
GUGCUCACUUCGGCAGCACAUAUACUGAAAUUGGAAUGAUCAGAGAAGAUUAGCAUGGCCCCUAGCAAGGAUGACACGCAAAUUUGUGUCAUAUUAAAAAAAAAA